rnacentral:tRNA from 1 species
GCCUUCGUGGUGAAGUGAUCAGUACACUCGGCUAGUAUUCGAGAGGUUCGUGGUUCAAGUCCCGUCGAGGGCA